UAAUGCGUAUGAAUGAAUUCCACUAAGGCUGAUCAAUCUCUUCACUAGUGUAUGUAAGAGGUUUUUCAGUAAUGCGUAUGAAUGAAUUCCACUAAGGCUGAUCAGUGUCUUCACUAGUGUAUGUAAGAGGUUUUUCAGUAAUGUGUAUGAAUGAAUUCCACUAAGGCUGAUCAAUCUCUUCACUAGUGUAUGUAAGAGGUUUUUCAGUAAUGCAUAUGAAUAAAUUUCACUAAGGCUGAUCAAUGUUUUUCGUUUCACUAGUGUUUGUAAGAGGUUUUUCAAUAAUUAUGGCCUAUACGGCCCCUCAUACAUCUGGGUAAGGUUUAGUCACCUCUCCAAAGAUUACAGUUUGUAUAACACAAGUGUUGACAGGUAAUUCAGUUAAUGGUGUUACAAGGCCGCAAUCUGUUCUUUGCAUCCAUUAUACUGGUUCAACUUACACUCAAAAAUGCUGCUUCCUCCAUUUAUUUGGUUAAAAGGAGUGAGUGCAACACAAAUUGUAAAGUUAAUUUCAAUACAUUUUAUAAAAUUACUUAAUCCGUUUGCAACAGGACCACGUAAAUUAUUUUUAUGCAGUCAGGCAGGGGAUUUCCAGUUCCUUGCAUGCUUUGCAUGGAACCAAAUGGGAAGAUUAAAUGUUAGAAUUAAGUGUUUAGCCUAUUUUAUGUUCAAAUUUUUGAGAAAGAUAAGGAAAGGAGGGAAACUUUGUUUGUGUUUAAUGUUCCAUUAUGUUGGGAUUCAAAGGAGUUUUUAUUACAGUAUGUUGUAGGUUUAGGGGUUACCUUGUGUUUAGAUUGAAUAUGUGCUAUUGUAAGUUAUUUACAGCUUAGUUUAUAAAAAAAAAAACCAUUUCCUACUGUCUACAUUUGAAUUAAUAUUAGCCAAAGUAUUGUCGUUUUGAGUGUACUCACAUGCUAAUAUGUUUAGCUAAUCACACAGUCUUUCUCUCCGCCGCCAUGCCUCACUCCACAAGUGUGUCAGCCUGUCAUCUGUCCUUGUCGGGAUAGCUUCUGUUGCUCUUUUUGUCUCUUAACUUUUCUUGCUGGAUCUUGUUGACGUUAGGAAAGACUUCAAGCACGCUGAGUCAGAAGCUUGCGCGGUCAAACAGGCCUUGAGCCGAGGUAGCUUGCGCUGUCAUUAUCUAGAUUUCAUAUCAUCGAUGACCAGUAUCUUCAUCAUCCUGUUUUUGAGGAUCAUCCUCCUUCCCUGCAUGUGUUUGAAUCAUCUCCCAUUUCCUGUUGCUGAUGUCACUCAGCAGGGAGAUGGACAGACACAUAGGAGCCAGCAUACUAAUGAAAUGACCUCAGAUACCCGUUCGCUCACCUGUGCUUUAUCGCUGGACGUAACAUAUCCUCAGCAUCACUUAAAUAUGACUAAUCAAUACUAAUCAAUAUGGCACACCUUGAUAACUUUGUUAGCUUGCUCCACUCAUCCUAGCUGAGAGUUAAACAGGCAUUGUGGGAAGACUUGGUCUUGAUCUGCUGACAUAUGCUGAUUAGGUGCAUUUUGCGCAAUGUGUAUUGGUGUAAAUUAAGAGUCUUGUCAGUUUUGAUUUUUUUUUUUUAAUUGUAUUGAUUUUAACUGAUACAAUAAAAAUAGUAAGAUACAAUAUAAUAUGAAAUAUAAAUAACUUGUGCUUGAAUUUAAAAUGUAUAGAGAGAUUAAAAACAUGUAGAGUACAUAUUAUUAAUUCACUCUAGAUUUUUAUUUCAUUUAAUAUAAUAUAUAUAUAAUUGCUAUAUUAAAAUGUUUAAUACAACAGGAAACAUAUAUUUUUUAAAAAAAAAAUGUUUUACUUUUUCCUCAUUGCAAGAAAGCCGUUACAUGAUCAGAUUUGAUAAACAAUGAUGCAUGGCUUUCCUGUAAAUCCUGCUUAACUGAAAUAACUGAUAUGACAAAGAAAUUUUUUUAGUGAUGAUUGAUAACAGUUUUUAACAAUAGUUAAUUACUGAUCUGUUAUUCCUCUUCCAAUAUUUUAAUGAAUGCACAUCAGUUGUUUGUAUGUUGUGUAAUGUUAAGUCUUUUACUUUCGUAAGAAAAAUCAUAAAGGAAAUCAUAAAGGAAAUUUAAUUUGUACAAUGAAAAUAUAUGAAAAGUUAGAAAUUGAAAUUAUGAUGCAAUUACAGCAAAAUAAGUCAACACUGUAGAGUGCUCAGAACAGUGUUACACAUUUUACAUUUAAUACAAAAAUGAAGGAAAAUUACUUGUAUUUACAAUAUACAUAGUAUGCACUGUACACUAGAGAUUUAUUCACAAUCUACAUAGUAUGCACUGUACAUUGUAGGUGUGUUUGCAAUUACACAUUUUAACAUUUAUUUCAGAAUUAAAUAAAAAAAUCAAAUCACACCUUGAUUUAGAGAUUUUCUCUUAAUUAACACACAUUUAACAGUGCAAAAAAUACACUUUUAUUUAGGUAUCAGAAAAAAAAAAUUAGGUUGCCAAUUACAUAAUUUGACUUUAAAUUUGAAUUUACUUUUUUAAUCUUCCAAGCGCUACACAGAUGCAACCGUAACAAUAUUUUUUUUGUUUUACUCAUACACAAUGGACAGAAGCAACUUUAGCAUUAGUUAUUUGUCAAUUAUUUUUUUAUAAUUACUUGCAUGAACAAUUAAUUACACAUUUUAUACAGUUAGUGUAUAGUGAUGGAAAUAACUGUCUGGAAAUAGGUUUUGGAGUGACUAUUCAUUUAUGUCAUUUAAGUUAGCAAGAUAUACAGUUUUUAACACAUUUCAUACAGAUUUUUUAAAUCAGAUUUUAUAGUUUUUUUUUUUGUUUGUUUUGUUUUGUUUUUAAUUAUUAGAAAACACAUGCAGCUGAAAAACAAAUGCAUUCCAUCUCUCUGCAGCAUUUAAAUGUCGUAACAUCUCAAAAUGGAUUUUCCUUCCUACUCAGAUAUGCACAAUAAUUCUGGUUCUGACUCUAUAUGCUGUUUUUCUUAUGAUAACCCCAUGAUAUACACUUUCAGCAGAAAUAAUACUUUCCCACCAUAAAAGAUGUUUUCACUCCAAAACCAUGCCAGAUAUAUUUUUGGAAAUAUUUCAAGUACUCACUUUUAUUGCCCCUCAUUGUACAAAUCGCAUGGGUUCCAACGUGAACAAAAUAUGCUCUUAGCAAGCAUUUUCCAAAACAUAUCACAACACAUUUUGUCAUUUAAAAAUGUAAAUAUGACCAGAUCAUGCAAUGUUGACAGUGAAUAUAUAUCUCUUAGUCCAGCAUGUUUUUCCAAAGAGAUCACUGCCCCAGAAUGUUCCAGAAGUGAAAAUCCUUGUUUUAUGGACAUGGAGAUAGUCCUCAUGGUUUAGUAGCGUGCUUCUGACGGUUAGUGAGUGUAAUGUCUGACUCGUACAGGCACUGACUCACCAUGGCUCAUCGGACAAGGCUCGAUUGGAGCCCGCCAAUUUCUCAAACACAAAGACACAAGUUUUUGAUCUGACUCUUUGUUCUAGCGCAGCAGCGUUUCACUAUAGCUGUACUGCAAAACCCCGCUGACAGAAAAAAAAAAAUAAUGAUGGUUUAGAUCUGAGAUUAGGCUUCAGAUGUGCUAAUGCUAGCUUCUCUGAGUGUUUACAGUUGGUUGGAUUUUGGUAUGUUCUCCUCUGAGGUGUGUGGGUGUUGGUUUUGAUGGUGGAUCUGCAGUAACGUCCUUAUAAGCCUGCAUCAUUUUGCUUCUCCAUUUGCGCUUUUUUGGGCCCGAUGUGUUUGCGUUUAGUUAACCCACAUCACGGGUGGAUGAUGAUAGUGUGUUUGGUUAAUGAUUUAACAAAAUAACCGGUAUGAGCUCAUCUACUGUUUAUCCGUGAAGUUGCACUUUCAGAAACUCGAGUGGGCAGAGGGGCUUGUUUGCGUCUGUGUAAUGAAGAGUUCAAAGAGACCGUUAUCGGCCACAUGACUGUGUAAAGUGAUAAAACAAAGGUCCAAAUGUGUGAGAGAGCAUCAGGACAUGUUAAAAAAAAAAUUAAAAAUUGAAUGUCAUUUUAAAAAUAAUUGCCUUGAAGAAUCUUGCUUUAAGUUUAAGAUAUAAUAUAUAUAUAUAUAUAAAUACAUAUAUUAUUUUUAAUUUAUUUCCUCGACUUGUUUGGGAGGGGCCAUUUGCCAUGCCAGGGCAAUCUCCUUCUCUUUUCCUUUCCAUGUGAUUGUGUGUAUGUGUGUGUGUGUGUGUAUGUGUGUGUGUCCGUUGGAGGGGGGGAGGGGGAGGGGGAGCAGGGGGGCAGUGUAGGUAGUGGCUAAAUCUCAUAAAAGGGUUUCCUAAUAUGGGCUGUCUCUCACAGAGCCCCUCCUUCCUGCUUGAGGUAGGUGGGGUUUACACACUCUCUCGACCAGUAAUCACACAGCAUGGACUUACUUCCUCAUUAAUUGGCUGAAACCAGUUCUUACAGGAACCGCCAGUGAUAAAUGUGAGGGUUCUGAGAAAUCAUUCAUUUCUUCCUUCAGCCUAGCUGAGGGACAUUACUGGGGAGUGUGGAUGGCUCCGUGUGAGCAUGCCUUCAGGACCAUCUUUUUUUUCUUCUCGUGUGCGUGUCUCUCUCUGUGUUUUUUUUUUUUCCCCUCCAUCAUUUUUUAAAUGCUUAGGAUAUGUAGUUCCCAGAACAAGCUGUACUUUACAGUUUUUUUUUCCUCCCUUAUUUGAGUUUCUGUCUUUUGGGAUAACAGAGCUUGGUCUCUAUCUCCCUCUCUCUGCGAGCGGAGAGAGGAGAAGUGGGGUAAAGGAAACUCACUGACCUUUCGGAGUUGGUAAGUGAAAUUUAUGUGACCUCUCUCUCUUUCGCUCUCCCUCCCUUUCUUUCCACAGUCUCGUCCCCUCCUCCUCUUCUCCUUUUCUGUCACAGUGCUUUUCCCGUUUGGCGCCUCUCUACAGAAGCCUUUCAGGGAGUACCUUGAGGCCCAGAGGGCAAAAUUACAACACCGGGCGGGCGGGCGGCGCGCAGAAGAGGCCACCCCAAUCGUUUUAGAAGAUGGUGAUCAGCAUGGUUUGUUGCAUCAUAAACUUAUGGCUUCCAACAAAUAAAAAAGCGAAACUAAA